rnacentral:rRNA from 1 species
AGUGAACGCUGGCGGUAGGCCUAACACAUGCAAGUCGAACGGCAGCACAGUAAGAGCUUGCUCUGACGGGUGGCGAGUGGCGGACGGGUGAGGAAUACAUCGUAAUCUACUUUUUCGUGGGGGAUAACGUAGGGAAACUUACGCUAAUACCGCAUACGACCUACGGGUGAAAGCAGGGGAUCUUCUGACCUGUCGCGAUUGAAUGAGCGGAUGUCGGAUUAGCUAGUUGGCGGGGUAAAGGCCCACCAAGGCGACGAUCCGUAGCUGGUCUGAGAGGAUGAUCAGCCACACUGGAACUGAGACACGGUCCAGACUCCUACGGGAGGCAGCAGUGGGGAAUAUUGGACAAUGGGCGCAAGCCUGAUCCAGCCAUCCCGCGUGGGUGAAGAAGGCCUUCGGGUUGUAAAGCCCUUUUGUUGGGAAAGAAAAGCAGCAGGUUAAUACCCCGCUGUUCUGACGGUACCCAAAGAAUAAGCACCGGCUAACUUCGUG